rnacentral:tRNA from 2 species
GAAAUAUUAAAUUAAGCUUCUAACUUAAAUAAAAACAAAAAUUUGUUUAUAUUUCU